rnacentral:rRNA from 1 species
GAUGAACGCUGGCGGCGUGCCUAAUACAUGCAAGUCGAGCGAACGGACGAGAAGCUUGCUUCUCUGAUGUUAGCGGCGGACGGGUGAGUAACACGUGGAUAACCUACCUAUAAGACUGGGAUAACUUCGGGAAACCGGAGCUAAUACCGGAUAAUAUUUUGAACCGCAUGGUUCAAAAGUGAUAGACGGUCUUGCUGUCACUUAUAGAUGGAUCCGCGCUGCAUUAGCUAGUUGGUAAGGUAACGGCUUACCAAGGCAACGAUGCGUAGCCGACCUGAGAGGGUGAUCGGCCACAUGGGAACUGAGACGCGGACAAGACUCCUGCGGGAGGCAGCAGUAUGGAAUCUUCCGCAAUGGGCGAAAGUCUUACGGAGCGACGCCGCGUGAGUGAUGAAGGUCUUCGGAUCGUAAAGCUCUGUUAUUAGGGAAGAACAUAUGUGUAAGUAACUGUGCACAUCUUGACGGUAACUAAUCAGAAAGCCACGGCUAACUACGUG